UACGUAGGUGGCAAGCGUUGUCCGGAUUUAUUGGGUUUAAAGGGUGCGUAGGCGGCCCUGUAAGUCAGUGCUGAAAUAUCCCAGCUUAACUGGGAGGGUGGCAUUGAUAAUGCGGGGCUAGAGUACAGAUGAGGUAGGCGGAAUUGACGGUGUAGCGGUGAAAUGCUUAGAUAUCGUCAAGAACACCUAUAGCGAAGGCAGCUUACUAGGCUGUAACUGACGCUGAGGCACGAAAGUGUGGGGAUCAAACAGG
rnacentral:rRNA from 1 species